GUGGCGGAGGUGGUGGUGGGGAUGGUGGUGACGAAAGAGGUGUGUGUGAAUUGUCGCAUCAUCUAUCACACAUCUUCAAUUUAUAUCUGCAUCUCGAAUGACCCUUAUACUCGUGAUGUUUACAAUUUUUAAGACAUCGGUAAAAUUGUCUUUUACAUCUCUUUAGGCAUUGAAUAUAAUCUUCAUUUUGCGAAGAAGGUGGUGGCGGAGGAGGUGGAGGUGGUGGCGGAGGAAAAGGUGGCGGUGGAGGAGGAGGCGGUGGAGGAGGUGACGGUGGAGGUGGUAGAGGAAGUGGAUGAAGUGGCGGUGGAGGAAGAGGUGGUGGUGGUGGCGGUGGAGGAGGUGAUGGGGGAGGUGGUGGCGGGGGAGGUGGCGACGAUGGUGGUGGCGGUGGAUGUGGCGAAGGUGUGCGUCGACAUAACCGUUUACAUAUGAUCAAAUCCCGGGAGCAUCGUGAAAGGCAACGAGAACGAUCAAGCGGACAAAUCGUUAAGCAAUUGUAAAAUUUACUUUUACAAGUAAAUUUAUAUCGAACAUAAUUUCCCAUUGGUGUCGAUGGCGCUGGUGUAGCCGAUGGAGGUGGAGGUGGCGAUGGUGUAGCCGGUGGUGGUUUAGAACAAUAUCUAUAGCAAGUACUUAAGCUCUGAACACAUCUCCAAUUACAAUGAUGUUUAUAAGGGAAUGCAUAAGCUGCCAUGCAUGCAUAUAACUGACUUUUAUAGUUAUAUCUGCAUUUAGUUCUCUCUUUGUAUGAUGAUUGCGAAGAAUAUUGAACUACUGCUAAACCUGCAGCCGAGACUUCCAUUAUGAACAUAGAAACCACCGCAAGCAGGAAAAAAAAGGAGACAAUACCAUAUCCAUGAAAGGUCAUGGCCGGCCGGUAAUGGCAAAAUAGGAAAAGUAGGUUUUCCAAGAAUAGAUUGAUUUGGAAUUUAUCGAGAAAGUUGAUGGAAAUUAUACUCCUUUCUUAUGAUUUAUAUAAUGUUCUGUAUCAUGUGAUUAGAGUUUAGGUGUGUAAAACCCUGUUUUCCACACAGAGUUUUAAUACACUAAAAUGACUUAUAAUACCCUGUUUAGGCCGUCCUUCCAUCCAUUCCGUCCGUCCGUCCAUUCAUCCAUCCAUCCAUCCAUCCAUCCAUCUAUCCGUUCAUCCAUCCAUCCAUCCAUUCAUACUAUAGAUUGGUAUUUCAAAAGAUACCCAACUUCCCUUUUUAGGGUGUUUAAUAUUAGCCAUUAAUUAUUUUUAACAAAACCCACAUUUUGAUUAAGAAAAUCAGUAGUGGUAUCGAAAAACCCUAAUGGUUUUGUGAUUGUUUAAAAUAUUUAAAUACAAAAAAAUCCAGAGACAAAUGUCCGACUUGAAUUUUCGGUGCUGACUUCACAUCUGCAACGUACCACAAGACUUUAAUCUGAUAAACGUGAGAAGAUAAGGCCAUUAUAAAUUAAUAAAAUAAAGAAUAUAUAUGGAAAUUAUCGAGAAACGAAACAUCUCCAUCUUCAUUACCUAAAUCUCUCUCGAUUGAAUCCUUCUUCGCCACUCUGACCGAACGUCAAGGUUCUUAAACUUUCCUCCUCGGGCUUGUGGGCAGGGGUGGAUCCAGAGAAGGGGCACCCAGGGACAAAUGUCCCCACAAUGUGUAAAUUAAAAAACCCUAAUAUAUAUACUUUUGUAAUUUUGUAAUAUAUUAGAUUCUUAGGAGUGUUAAUAUUAAAAUAGAUUGGGUGUUAAUAUUCUUAGGGUGUAACCCUGAAUCGCCGAUUCCCUACCUGAAUCGUUGAUUCGCGGGCGUUACUUGUUGCUAGCCCGCACCAUUAAUGCGUAAUUAAUGGGCGCCAUUAUGGCCGGACGCGAUGCCCGCCGCGAACUGCGCCCCCGAGGACCCUAUAAAAGGGGUCAAUCCAAGAGAGAAUAGAAGUUCCAUUACCACUAGAGCUCACUCGGAGAGGAAUCGCCGAUUCCCACACCUGAAUCGCCUAUUCCCCUCCUCCAGGAUUUAACGUAGAGCACGCGUCGUGGACUCCAAAGCCUCCGGCAUCACCUCGCACCGCCGCGAACCCCUGAUAGCAGAUUCCGGGUUUCAUCAGUUUGCACCGUCUGUGGGACUAUCGAACCACCGGUAUCCCCGUCCUAAUCGUCGAUUUUUCCUUGUAAAGUUUGGCUUGAUCUCUCCCAGAGGGAUCGCUGACUUUGGCAACUUGAUGGCCAUAUUACCCAAAAUAAUAAUAAUCUUAGAAUGGAUGUCAUGGCGUUAAUGAACUUGAUGAAGUGAUUUCUCAAAAGGGUUUCUUCGACGGGAUUUUCUAGAUCUUUUGAUAGGCGCCCAACUAGACAUAAGUGAGACAAAUGGAAGAGAUGAUGAAUUCUUUCAGGGUUUUCUCCCCUCCGGUAUUCCGAAAACAUUUGUAAUGUUAUUUUAUCUUCGUAAAAGUAUGAAAGGGCAAGAUCUAGAGGGUAUUGUAUUCUGAAAGAGAUGAAAAACAACUACCAAAUAUCGUCCGUGACUACAAUGGCUUCUCAAUGUGAAGAGGAAGAUUACACACUUGAACAACAAGACGAUGUGACAAGGGAGAUUCAAAAGAUUUAAAAUGCAUGAGAGGAUUUUACUAACACAUUUUUAUAAAAUUUUAUUAAACAUAUCUGACAAACAUUCUAAUAUCCAGUAGGUUAUAAAUAUCGUACAACAACUUCUCUCAAAAAAUAAUAUCUUCCACAAUAUAAUUGUCAGAUUAUAUGUACGAAAGGUCAUUACAAGUUCCUUCCAAUCCAAUGGUACAAAUGACUACGACGUAAAUAGCGCAUACAUAUACGACGUACAUGAAGUGCGCCCUAUAUUAAUAUACGUUAUAGUAAUUAUUAUAAUAUUAUAGAACAAUUUUCUGAUAAACCAGCCCAAGGUUAGCCAAAAAACGGCACCAUCAUCUUGACUGUCCUAUCAAGAUCUUGAAUUAUUUUAAUUUUUUCAUUUUUCACGAGGGUUUUUCUUAUUUUUUUACACUCUUCUCCUAACAAUUUUUUUCAUCAUUCGCAGGUAAACUACACCAUCUUUUUUGGGAAGACGAACAUUCAGUUCAAGACUAUUAAACUUUUUGAAGUUUCUCUUACCUUCGAUACAACUUACAAUACUUACAAAUAUAAGUUAGUAUUUGACAUGUUCUGCGAAGUGAAUAAUGAUCUCCAUUCUAUUUUGUUUGGAGUUGGAUUUCUAUCGAAUGAGAUAAAAGAUUCAUUUAUAUGAUUUUUCCAACAGUUCUUUAAUUGCAUGGAGAACACACCAUAUACUAUUAUCACAGGUCAAGACCGAACAAUGAAGGCAACUUUGCCUAUUGUAUUUCCUAACACCUUCCAGAGAUUUUGUAAGUGACAUAUCACUCACAAACUUGUGGAUAAGAUUGGAAAUAUCUUCAGAGACAAGACAACAAUGAAUGAAUUUAAAAUUUUAUCAUCAUAUAAUGACUCUCGAGAUGGUUGUAGAUUGGAAAUGGAGUUGAAAUUAGUUAAUUUACUCUAAGUCUUUUGAUUACAAAUGUAUCCAUUUACUAUCUACAUAAAAAUAAAAGAAUAUGAAUUAAUAACCAAUUAAACAAUAAUGUUAUAAAUCAUAAGUAUUAAGUAUUAGCCAUUUAGUCGUUAAUUAUUCAACAAUAAAGACAAAAAAGUAAAAGGUCAAACGUUCAAACUAAAAACUAAAUGUUUUGGGGUAUAAGUAUAGUAUUUUAUUUAUUGGGGGAAGGAGGCUUAAGUCUUCCCAAGCCUCGUUUACACAUGCAUUCAUUCCUUAACUCGUUUACACAUGCAUUUCUACCUUCGUUCCCAUGUCCAUUCAUGUAAUCUCUCCUCUAAUCAUUUUAUCAUGUUUAAAUCAACAACAAUUUCAGUUAAUUAAAUCAGUUAGCAAUCAUGGUUAUCAUACAUGAAAUCAAUUACUAAUCACUUCACUCAACAUGAUUCAUGAUGACACGUUAUUGACAUGUUUCUUUUACUGUUUCUUAAUAUACAUUAACCAUCUCAUGUCCAUUCUAACAUUUUAACCUUUUAACAUAUUAAUAGUUUAACAUUUUAAAAUAUCUUAACAGUACUUAGCUUACAUAAAUGUUUAAAGAUAAAUUUGAUUUCAACAAACUAAUCUUAACAGGAAUUAACUAAAUCAUAACACUAACUAACUUAUUCAUACAUUUUACCAAUAACUAAAUCUGAUUAUUACAAAUCAGACCCGUUAGUUUCUAACAUUAAAAUAUUCUAACAGUACUUAGCUUACAUAAAUGUUUAAAGAUAAAUCUGAUCAAAUAACUAAAUCUUUCUCCCGUUGCCUCUUCUUGAUUUAUUUACUUAUCCUCCUUUCCUAUUUUACUCUUAACCAGGUCACCCAUUAACCGGUUAUUACAAGGUGACAGAAGUGUAACGAAAUGAAACACAACGUAUUUGCCCUUCUAUUGAGGAAACCAACUAAAAAAAUUUACAAUCAAUAUCAAUAAAAUAAAAUAAAAAAUAGAAAUGAUAGAUUAUUUUUUUUCUUUUUAUAGCAUAAAUUUUUUCAACUAAAGUCAUGUGUUCAUCAAUAUACAAUAAGAAUUAAAUGAAGGUAAUCCAAUAAGAAGUUAUCUGUUUAUAUCUCUGAUUGUUGCCUUGCAUUGAAGGCGUUGUUUAUUUAAUUAGGGUAAGCUUCAUGUGCUCCGUACUUCAAUGCGUCAAAAUACGCCAAAUUAAUCUUGUCCAUUAGAUCGAUUUUUCGUCGUACAUGAGUUAGUGUCUUUUAUAGUACAUUAUUUUACGUCGUACAUGUGUUAGUGUCUUGUACAGUAUAUUAUUUUAGUCAUUGAAUUAAAUAUUAAUGGACAUGAUCAGUGGCGAAUGUAGGGGGGUUUGGAGGGACUUGAGCCCCCCCUACAAAAAAAAUAAUAUAUACAAUACCACCCCCAACAAGUCAACAACCAUUUAAAACUUAUAAUAUUUUUAAAUAUUUUAAUUUUAUAAGUAUUUGUAAUUUUGUUAAAAUUUUAAGGGUAAACUGUAAUUUUACUUAUAAAUCAUUUUCAUAAUCUUAUUAAUAAUUAAUUUAUUACUAUUUAGUAUUUAUCCUAAUUAGUCAAUUACUCGUCCAGCUGUCCAUCUAGAGAUUUUAAAAUUUCGUUUUUUCCUCCUCUUCUGUUCUCUUUUCCACUCCUCCGUCUCCAUUCAUUCUUUUUUUUGUCUCCACUCUCAACAGCUCCUUAGGACCACAACUCCACACCUCCAUUCAUUUAAUUUUUGACUUCUCUUUCUCUACUUCACGUGAGUCCGUGACACAGUUCCACACAAAUAAAAAGAACAAAGGUAUUUUUUAUCCACAUUCUUUAUUAUUAAAUUUGUUAUUAAUUUAUAUUCUUUUUUACAUAGAUAAUCAAUGGACAAAUUUGUAAUAAAAAAUUCUAGAAUAAAUCAACUAAUUUUAACUUUAUCGUCUAAUCCACAACCAUCUCGAGAGUCACUCGAUGUAAGUAAAUUAUCUUCUAAUCCGAGAUUGCGAAAGAAGAUAAAUGAAUACCAUCCAAAUGAACGAGAUCAAAUAAGAAGAUAUUAUUUGCAAAAAAAACCUUUUCGACCACGCCAACAUGUAUUUCCAUAGUAUGGAUGAUGUUUGGUUGAAUGAUAUUUUAGUAACAUAUGUUGAAAAAAAUUUAUUUUCUAGUGUUAGUAAUGAUGAUAUUAUGUAUCGUUGCCAAAAUAUGACAAAUCGUCGAGAAUAAUUGGAUUGAAAAAAAAUAAUUUUGAAUUUGAUUAAAUGAUUUAAAAUUAGCCCCUGGAGUAGGGGUGAGAACGGGGCACGGAACGGGGAGGGUCAGGUACUCCACCUUCCUGCCCCGAGACCCGGCGACCGGAGCACGGAACGGGGCGACCCGCCUGAAAUUAAAAAAAGUAAACCUAAAAUUAAAAAUGGGUAAACUUUUUACCCUAAUUCUUAAAAAAUUUAAUCUUAAUAAUCCUAUAUCUAAUUUAAUUUAUUUUAAAAAAAAUCAAAAUUUUUUUUUUUAAAACGGGGCGACUCGCCCGGGUUUUGCCCUGCCCCGAGACCCGCCCCGGAAUAUGACCGGGGCAACGGGACAGAAUAUAUCUUCCCCGUCCCCAGUUGCCACCGGGGCGCGGAAGGGGGCGGGACCGGGACGACCCGCCCUGUUCUCACCCUUACCUUGGAGAAAAAAAAAUCUGAAUUUGCCGCUGGACAUGAUUAAUGAUGGCAUCAUCGAGACUCCGAUAAUGAUGGAUGGCAUCAUGCAAUUACAAUUCAACUAAUGUUAGGUUAUUUUUUUCUUUUUAUAGCAUAAAUUUUUUCAACUAAUGUUAUGUGUUCAUCAAUAUACAUUACUACAUUGGAAAACCUCUCCACCAAGGCAUUAAAUGAAGAUAAUCCAAUAAGAAGUUAUUUGUUUAUAUCUUUGAUUAUUGCCUUGCAUUGAAGUUAUCUGUUUUAUUCAGUAUGUAAUAUUUAUAAACUUUUUUUUUGAACACUAAAGAGUAAAUUACAUUAAAAAAAAUUAAGAAUUAACCACUUAUGUUGCUAACCCAUGGUUCACAAAAGACUGCCCAAAGGCAUACAUCAGUUCAUAAAUACUUGGUAUGUUAGCUGCAUGGAUUGCUAAUAUAUUACAUACUAUAGAUUGGUAUUUCAAAAGAUACCCAACUUCUCUUUUUAGGGUGUUUAAUAUUAGCCAUUAAUUAUUUUUAACAAAACCCACAUUUUGAGUAUGAAAAUCAGUAGUGGUAUUGAAAAACCCUAAUGUUUUUGUGAUGGUUUAAAAUAUUUAAAUACAAAAAAAUCCAGAGACAAAUGUCCGACUUGAAUUUUCGGUGCUGACUUCACAUCUACAACGUACCACAAGACUUUAAUCUGAUAAACGUGAGAAGAUAAGGCCAUUAUACAUUAAUCGAAUAAAGAAUAUAUAUGGAAAAUAUCGUGAAACGAAACAUCUCCAUCUUCGUUACCUAAAUCUCUCUCGAUUGAAUCCUUCUUCGCCACCCUGACCAAACUUCAAGGUUCUUAAACUCUCCUCCUCGGGCUUAUGGGCAGGGGUGGAUCCAUAGAAGGGGCACCCAGGGGCAAAUGUCCCCACAAGGUGUAAAUUAGAAAACCCUAAUAUAUAUACUUUUGUAAUUUUGUAAUAUAUUAGAUUCUUAGGAGUGUUAAUAUUAAAAUAGAUUGGGUGUUAAUAUUAAAACAGGCAGGCACAACGGUCUGGCCAGCCAUCCAGUUCCAACGAUCGUCCAAGCGGUCCAGCUCUGACAGAGAAAGGAUUGUCCCAAGCUUCCAUUUUAUCUCCUUUAGUAUCUAUAGGUUUCUUCACUUUCCCAUUUAUAAAUGGGAGCUUCCUCCUUGAGACAAGAGAAAGACGCAUAGUAUUAGCCCAUGUAUUGUAAUUAGCCUCACCUGUUAGUUUAUAUCUGACACCAUCUAAGCUCCUGGAUGGUCACCAGAGGUGAGGUAAUAGACUGAUUUUAUGUCAUGUAGGGUGGAUGCGUUGUCAGAGUGUGUGGAGGAAUGUUUUAUCUUUCCUUUUCCUGGAAGACAUGUGGGGCUCCUGGAAGACAUGAAUGGCUCGAAUGGUGUUGGGAAUUUUGCAUAAUAUGGGAUCUUCUGUUUGAAUUGAUCUAUUUUGGAACUCAUUGAUUUGUGCAGACAAUUUUACAAACACUAAGACUGAGUCGCUAAAUAAAAACAUUUAGCAGAAUUGAUAAAAUGGAAAUAAGAAUAACAAUUAAAAUAUCAAUAAACAAUAUAAUAUUUAUAAAACAAACAAUUAAAAUCAAUAAGAAUUUGAACUUUAUUUGGAGAAUUUUUAACAACAGAAUUAUUCGUAACUUACCCGAUUAUUUCGCUUGACAUUGCUCGAUCAAUGGGUUCUUCUACGAACGUCGAGUCUAAAUCAUCGUCGAUAAUGUUAAAUAAAAACAUUGGCAGAAUUAAUAAAAUGGAAAUAAGGUUAACAAUUAAAGUAUUAAUAAAUAAUAUAUGUAUUUAUAAAACAAAUAAUUAAAAUUAAUAAGAAUUUGAACUUUAUUUGGAGAAUUUAUUUAGCAACAAAAUUAUUUGUAACUAACAUGAUUAUUUCGCUCGACAUAGCUCGAUCAAUGGGUUCUUCUACGAUCACUAAUAUUGAACUAUAAGAGUAGAGUUGGUUGUUCUACGAUCAAUUGGGUAUAUUAAUAUAUUGUAGCGAUUGAAAUUCAAGCUAGCUUCUAGGGGGCGAUUGAACGGAGAGCGCUACUACAGUGGGAUGCUCUUAUCAUGCUCAUCCAUUACAAGGAUGGAGGAAGUUAAUCUUGGCUAACUUCCGGGCGACAGGGUAAUUAGAUUGCUAUUUUCAUUUGAACUGUUAUUUUGUGUUAAACUCUAUUUUUAAUUAAUCAAAAAGUAACCGCAUCAAAAAAAAAUACAUUAAAUAAUUGGAUAUAUUCGUUAUGAUAUUACAAUGUAAGCAUUCACCAUUUAUUUAAAAAUUCAUUUAUUCAUUUUGAUAUUCAACUCUUCAAGUAUUUAAUUAAAUUGAUUGAAAUCAAACAAACUUAUUAGUUAUUAGACAUUAAAUAAUUGAGUAUUUUAAUACAGUAGUAUUCAGUUGCACGAUCAAUAUGUGCACCGUCGUGUGCCAAAAAAAAAUCCUCAACAACACACGUUUGUCAUCUAUCGAUCCAAAUUACGUUAUGCGCAUAAUACUAACUUGCGUACGACGUGGGACGGGGAUCUCGAUAAAUUCUAACAUAAACCUGUAGGACAUCUCUCUACUUAACGUACUAAUUCUAACAUUACCUAAUAAUUAGAGAAAACUAAUUUGUGGUAUAUUUUAACAAAAUUUCGUAUAUACAACCUGUUAUUAAUUGUUUGAUGUCUUGAUUGACAUACGUCUGGUAAUGACUUACAACUGCUUUUUGAAGCUUGUACGACGCACAUGUCAGAUUUCACACACACUACCAUCAUUAUCAUCUAACUUACAACAAUCUUUUCUUCCAUAUGUUGUCAUUACUAAGAUUUGUCAUCCAAAACAAAUCUACAUCUUCCCCAAAAGUGUCUCUUUCUCUUUGUUGUUCUUAAAAGUUUAUGUCUAUUUUCUUGGAUGUAGUUUUGGUUGUCAAUCACUUAAAAAACUAUGGUCUGUGUCGUAUGACAUCCCUACACUAACAGAGGAUGCCAAUAAGUCAACUCAAAACAGAUAUAUCAAUUAUCGUACAUUAUUUCCAUCUAUAAAUAUGAUCAACCACCGUACAUCAUCUUCAUCCAUCGUCCACAUUUGCAAGUUACAUUUUCCAUAUUUAUCUACUAUAUAGCUCUAUCUUCAACUUGUCAUUACCAUUUUACAACGAAAUGUCGGUUCAUUCUAUCAUCACUGUCUCCGAUGAUGAAUCCGAUAUUCAUCCAUAUUCACCUUCCCAUGCAUAUUCACCUCCGAUGAGAACUUCAUUUGAGUAGUCUACUGAAUCGCUACACGAUACAUGUGAUUCAGAUUCCUCCAUAUGACCUGCGAUUUUCUGCAAUCCAUCGACAAUGUCAUAUGUACGACGACCGUGACUACAAUGGCUUCUCAAUGUGGAGAGGAAGAUUACGCACUUGAACAACAAGACGAUGUGACAAAGGAGGUUCAAAAGAUUUAAAAUGCAUGAGAGGAUUUUACUAACACAUUUUUAUAAAAUUUUAUUAAACAUAUCUGACAAACAUUCUAAUAUCCAGUAGGUUAUAAAUAUCGUACAACAACUUCUCUCAAAAAAUAAUAUCUUCCACAAUAUAAUUGUCAGAUUAUAUGUACGAAAGGUCAUUACAAGUUCCUUCCAAUCCAAUGGUACAAAUGACUACGACGUAAAUAGCGCAUACAUAUACGACGUACAUGAAGUGCGCCCUAUAUUAAUAUACGUUAUAGUAAUUAUUAUAAUAUUAUAGAACAAUUUUCUGAUAAACCAGCCCAAGGUUAGCCAAAAAACGGCACCAUCAUCUUGACUGUCCUAUCAAGAUCUUGAAUUAUUUUAAUUUUUUCAUUUUUCACGAGGGUUUUUCUUAUUUUUUUACACUCUUCUCCUAACAAUUUUUUUCAUCAUUCGCAGGUAAACUACACCAUCUUUUUUGGGAAGACGAACAUUCAGUUCAAGACUAUUAAACUUUUUGAAGUUUCUCUUACCUUCGAUACAACUUACAAUACUUACAAAUAUAAGUUAGUAUUUGACAUGUUCUGCGAAGUGAAUAAUGAUCUCCAUUCUAUUUUGUUUGGAGUUGGAUUUCUAUCGAAUGAGAUAAAAGAUUCAUUUAUAUGAUUUUUCCAACAGUUCUUUAAUUGCAUGGAGAACACACCAUAUACUAUUAUCACAGGUCAAGACCGAACAAUGAAGGCAACUUUGCCUAUUGUAUUUCCUAACACCUUCCAGAGAUUUUGUAAGUGACAUAUCACUCACAAACUUGUGGAUAAGAUUGGAAAUAUCUUCAGAGACAAGACAACAAUGAAUGAAUUUAAAAUUUUAUCAUCAUAUAAUGACUCUCGAGAUGGUUGUAGAUUGGAAAUGGAGUUGAAAUUAGUUAAUUUACUCUAAGUCUUUUGAUUACAAAUGUAUCCAUUUACUAUCUACAUAAAAAUAAAAGAAUAUGAAUUAAUAACCAAUUAAACAAUAAUGUUAUAAAUCAUAAGUAUUAAGUAUUAGCCAUUUAGUCGUUAAUUAUUCAACAAUAAAGACAAAAAAGUAAAAGGUCAAACGUUCAAACUAAAAACUAAAUGUUUUGGGGUAUAAGUAUAGUAUUUUAUUUAUUGGGGGAAGGAGGCUUAAGUCUUCCCAAGCCUCGUUUACACAUGCAUUCAUUCCUUAACUCGUUUACACAUGCAUUUCUACCUUCGUUCCCAUGUCCAUUCAUGUAAUCUCUCCUCUAAUCAUUUUAUCAUGUUUAAAUCAACAACAAUUUCAGUUAAUUAAAUCAGUUAGCAAUCAUGGUUAUCAUACAUGAAAUCAAUUACUAAUCACUUCACUCAACAUGAUUCAUGAUGACACGUUAUUGACAUGUUUCUUUUACUGUUUCUUAAUAUACAUUAACCAUCUCAUGUCCAUUCUAACAUUUUAACCUUUUAACAUAUUAAUAGUUUAACAUUUUAAAAUAUCUUAACAGUACUUAGCUUACAUAAAUGUUUAAAGAUAAAUUUGAUUUCAACAAACUAAUCUUAACAGGAAUUAACUAAAUCAUAACACUAACUAACUUAUUCAUACAUUUUACCAAUAACUAAAUCUGAUUAUUACAAAUCAGACCCGUUAGUUUCUAACAUUAAAAUAUUCUAACAGUACUUAGCUUACAUAAAUGUUUAAAGAUAAAUCUGAUCAAAUAACUAAAUCUUUCUCCCGUUGCCUCUUCUUGAUUUAUUUACUUAUCCUCCUUUCCUAUUUUACUCUUAACCAGGUCACCCAUUAACCGGUUAUUACAAGGUGACAGAAGUGUAACGAAAUGAAACACAACGUAUUUGCCCUUCUAUUGAGGAAACCAACUAAAAAAAUUUACAAUCAAUAUCAAUAAAAUAAAAUAAAAAAUAGAAAUGAUAGAUUAUUUUUUUUCUUUUUAUAGCAUAAAUUUUUUCAACUAAAGUCAUGUGUUCAUCAAUAUACAAUAAGAAUUAAAUGAAGGUAAUCCAAUAAGAAGUUAUCUGUUUAUAUCUCUGAUUGUUGCCUUGCAUUGAAGGCGUUGUUUAUUUAAUUAGGGUAAGCUUCAUGUGCUCUGUACUUCAAUGCGUCAAAAUACGCCAAAUUAAUCUUGUCCAUUAGAUCGAUUUUUCGUCGUACAUGAGUUAGUGUCUUUUAUAGUACAUUAUUUUACGUCGUACAUGUGUUAGUGUCUUGUACAGUAUAUUAUUUUAGUCAUUGAAUUAAAUAUUAAUGGACAUGAUCAGUGGCGAAUGUAGGGGGGUUUGGAGGGACUUGAGCCCCCCCUACAAAAAAAAUAAUAUAUACAAUACCACCCCCAACAAGUCAACAACCAUUUAAAACUUAUAAUAUUUUUAAAUAUUUUAAUUUUAUAAGUAUUUGUAAUUUUGUUAAAAUUUUAAGGGUAAACUGUAAUUUUACUUAUAAAUCAUUUUCAUAAUCUUAUUAAUAAUUAAUUUAUUACUAUUUAGUAUUUAUCCUAAUUAGUCAAUUACUCGUCCAGCUGUCCAUCUAGAGAUUUUAAAAUUUCGUUUUUUCCUCCUCUUCUGUUCUCUUUUCCACUCCUCCGUCUCCAUUCAUUCUUUUUUUUGUCUCCACUCUCAACAUCUCCUUAGGACCACAACUCCACACCUCCAUUCAUUUAAUUUUUGACUUCUCUUUCUCUACUUCACGUGAGUCCGUGACACAGUUCCACACAAAUAAAAAGAACAAAGGUAUUUUUUAUCCACAUUCUUUAUUAUUAAAUUUGUUAUUAAUUUAUAUUCUUUUUUACAUAGAUAAUCAAUGGACAAAUUUGUAAUAAAAAAUUCUAGAAUAAAUCAACUAAUUUUAACUUUAUCGUCUAAUCCACAACCAUCUCGAGAGUCACUCGAUGUAAGUAAAUUAUCUUCUAAUCCGAGAUUGCGAAAGAAGAUAAAUGAAUACCAUCCAAAUGAACGAGAUCAAAUAAGAAGAUAUUAUUUGCAAAAAAAACCUUUUCGACCACGCCAACAUGUAUUUCCAUAGUAUGGAUGAUGUUUGGUUGAAUGAUAUUUUAGUAACAUAUGUUGAAAAAAAUUUAUUUUCUAGUGUUAGUAAUGAUGAUAUUAUGUAUCGUUGCCAAAAUAUGACAAAUCGUCGAGAAUAAUUGGAUUGAAAAAAAAUAAUUUUGAAUUUGAUUAAAUGAUUUAAAAUUAGCCCCUGGAGUAGGGGUGAGAACGGGGCACGGAACGGGGAGGGUCAGGUACUCCACCUUCCUGCCCCGAGACCCGGCGACCGGAGCGCGGAACGGGGCGACCCGCCUGAAAUUAAAAAAAGUAAACCUAAAAUUAAAAAUGGGUAAACUUUUUACCCUAAUUCUUAAAAAAUUUAAUCUUAAUAAUCCUAUAUCUAAUUUAAUUUAUUUUAAAAAAAAUCAAAAUUUUUUUUUUUAAAACGGGGCGACUCGCCCGGGUUUUGCCCUGCCCCGAGACCCGCCCCGGAAUAUGACCGGGGCAACGGGACAGAAUAUAUCUUCCCCGUCCCCAGUUGCCACCGGGGCGCGGAAGGGGGCGGGACCGGGACGACCCGCCCUGUUCUCACCCUUACCUUGGAGAAAAAAAAAUCUGAAUUUGCCGCUGGACAUGAUUAAUGAUGGCAUCAUCGAGACUCCGAUAAUGAUGGAUGGCAUCAUGCAAUUACAAUUAUUGUAAGAGUUCAUUGACGGUUGCUCCAAGAGGAAUGAGCAAAUUUUUCACAUUUGAUGUUGUGCUUAUAUCUUGAACCUUCUUGUACAGGAUGGUUUGAAGUUAGUGAUGAGGGUGGUUUCCUCAUUUGUGUCUAAUUGGUUUAUAUAGACUAGUGUAUCGUGUGAUUAGAGUUUAGUUGAAAGAAGUGUAAUGAAAUGAAACACAUCGUAUUUUCCCUUCUUCUGAGGAAUGUCUAACUUUGCAAAAAUUCGAACCCUGAAUCGUCAAAAACCUUCAUAAUAACAGUGAUCAGUUACGCUAAUCCCCUUGUGUAUCUAUCUUUUCUACUUGGUUUCCUCAGAAAAAGGGCAAAUUGACGUGUUUCAUUUUUUUACACUUUUGUCACCAAAACUCUAAUCACAUUAUACACAACUCUAUAUAAAUAAUAGGAAAUUGAAAGGAUCUACAAUAUUCUCUAAACUAGAUCUGAGAUCAUGUUUUCACCAGAUUAGAGUUUGCCCAUCAGACACUCACAAAACAACAUUCAAAACCCAUGAAGGUCACUUUGAAUUCAUGGUUAUGCCAUUUGGGCCAACCAAUUAAUGCACCAGCCACUUUCCAGGCAGUAGUUAUAUGAACUCUGUUUUCAAGAAAAUAUUGAGAAAAUUUGUGAUUAUAUUUUUUGAUGAUAUACUGAUUUACAACCCUUCAUUGGAAGAACAUAUAUCACAUUUUGAGCAGAGUAUUUGAGAUACUCGGAAAUAAUCAGCUACUAGCAAAACUAUCAAAGUGCUCAUUUGGAUAAUCAUCCAUUGGCUUCCUAUGACAUAUAAUUUCAGAAAAAAAAGGAGUCCAUCCUGACCCAGAUAAAGUAAGUAAUAUGACAAAAUGGAAGGUUCCUCAGACCAUCAAAUAACUCAGAGGUUUAUUUUUUUGAUAUGUUAAUUUUUAAGAAAAGGAAAAUUUAACAAAUAAAUUAAGAAUUAAAGUUUGAAAGACUAUUAUAACAUUAUCUAUGACAUUGUUCCUUACCCUGAUCAUUCAGAUGGAUUGGGUUGGAUCUGAUGGGAUCGAUCGAUCAACAGAAGAACGUCGUCGAUGAUUGUAAAGCAUUUGAGUACAAGGAUAGAAGGAAUUGAGAAAUGGCUCUUCAGAUUUCAUUAAUAUUUAAUCUAAUGUCUAAAAUAAUGUACUGCAUAAGACACUAAUUAACACAUGUACGACGUAAAAUAAUGUACUGCAAAAUACAAUAACACAUAUACGACGAAAAGUCGAUCUAAUAGACAAGAUUAAUGGUGUGUGUGUUAAAAUUGAUUUUAUUUUUUCUAAAUUUUGACUUUUAUUUAUAUUUAAAAACAAGUGCGGGUUACAACCGAUGAUAACCCUUUUUUAUUUAGUAAUAAUACACAAGGGUAAGUAAGAUUAAACCAUGUAGAUGUAGAAGAACACGUUCUAGAUUGGGAUACAUUCAUCGAUUUGGUGGUGGAGGUGGCAGAGGUAGAGAACCGAAAUAGCAAGUUUUUUUGCAACUGAUGUAUUUACUUUGGCACUCGAUAUAACAGUUAAAAUCGAGAAAUGGACAACGUAAAAGGCAAACAUAGUAAAAUUCUCUUUUACAAUUCUUUUUGCAUUUAAAUUUAAUAAAACCGUUAAUUUCCAAUGAAUUUGGAACUACGGCUGAGCUAGCUGAGGCUUCCAUUAUGAACGUGGAAACCACCGCAAGCAGGAAAAAAAAGGAGACAACACCGGAUCCAUGAAGAGCCAUGGCCAGCCAGGAAGGGCAAAAUAGGAGAAGUAGAUUAUCCAAGAACAGAUUAGGUUUGAAUUGAUCGAGAAAGUUGAUGGAAAUUAUACUCACUUUCAUUGGUUUAUAU
rnacentral:lncRNA from 1 species